AGUGAACGCUGGCGGUAGGCCUAACACAUGCAAGUCGAACGGCAGCACAGUAAGAGCUUGCUCUUACGGGUGGCGAGUGGCGGACGGGUGAGGAAUACAUCGGAAUCUACUUUUUCGUGGGGGAUAACGUAGGGAAACUUACGCUAAUACCGCAUACGACCUACGGGUGAAAGCAGGGGAUCUUCGGACCUUGCGCGAUUGAAUGAGCCGAUGUCGGAUUAGCUAGUUGGCGGGGUAAAGGCCCACCAAGGCGACGAUCCGUAGCUGGUCUGAGAGGAUGAUCAGCCACACGGGAACUGAGACACGGUCCAGACUCCUACGGGUGGCAGCAGUGGGGAAUAUUGGACAAUGGGCGCAAGCCUGAUCCAGCCAUACCGCGUGAGUGAAGAAGGCCUUCGGGUUGUAAAGCCCUUUUGUUGGGAAAGAAAAGCAGCAGGUUAAUACCCCGCUGUUCUGACGGUACCCAAAGAAUAAGCACCGGCUAACUUCGUG
rnacentral:rRNA from 1 species